AAAAUACACAAUAAAGACCUAGGCAACUGGACAUCUUCUUCAGCAAAAAAAGAGGAGGAGCUGAAAAGAAAUGCUAGAGGCUAGAUAAGCACUCGUCGUUUUCUGAAAAUGGGGACACACUCUAGAGAGCCCUAGAUCUAGAGGCAAUCAGUGGAAAAGAAGACCACAAAAAAAAACAACGCCAAAAAGCUGAAAAAUCAGAAAAUCAAGACUAAAAAUAGGAUCACCCGUAUAACUCCAAAAACAGACUCGCCCCUUUUGUCGUCGUCUUCUUCAACAGGACCACCCCCCGUCGUUCUUCUUAUUCAUCCUCACAUCCAGCGACCUAGUUCUCUCAUAUCCCAUUAACACACACACACACACACACACAAGAACACAUGCAAAAACAAACAAAAUCAGAGACCAAAAGGGAAGAUUUGAAAGUUGUCCGAAUUUCCAGUCCUCUACUUAAGUUUCUCUGAAAUUCAAGUGACAUUGGAGCUGUAGAAGCAUUGUUCGAUUGCUGAAUCUGCCGCUACAUGUUUUCGGGUUCAUCAUGGCUGAGAUACGAUCUAUGUCGAAGUUGUUUCGUUAAGGUUUCGGGUCCAAGCCUUUAUUGCCAAUUUUCCGACGAGGUUCGAUGUACACUUUGGUUUUGAGAUCUAUCAUUAAUAUGAUUUUGAGAAAAUUUCGGCUCUAGUGUUGAGUUUUCUCAUAUAGGUGUGGAUCUAUUUACCGGAGUUUAAGCAUGGCAGACACCUUGGGACCAUCCAGGCAGGAUCGCUCAUUCGGGAGUGGAUUAAAAGAUGAUUUUCUUUUCUUUCUUUUUUUUUUAAUAUUUUGAUUCUGUUUUUCUUUUUAUGUCGUCUCUUAACUUCUAGAUUUGUACAGUAAUGUUGAGUUUCUUUAUUAUUAUAUUUCCUAUUUUGUAUUGGAAAAAAAUAUGUCUAAUAAAUCAAAUAUCCAGAGAAAAAUUGGCGUUUUUA